rnacentral:rRNA from 1 species
UACGUAGGGAGCGAGCGUUGUCCGAAGUUACUGGGCGUAAAGCGCGCGUAGGCGGGUCGUUAAGUGAGAGGUGAAAGGCUGGGGCUCAACCUCAUGCAGUGCCUCUCAUAUUGGCGGUCUUGAGUGAGGUAGGGAGAAGUGGAAUGGCUGGUGUAGCGGUGAAAUGCGUAGAUAUCAGUCGGAACACCGGUGGCGAAGGCGGCUUCUUGGGCCUUUACUGAGCUGAUGCGCGAAAGCUGGGGGGAGCGAACGGG